GAUGAACGCUGGCGGCGUGCUUAACACAUGCAAGUCGAACGGAAAGGCCCAAGCUUGCUUGGGUACUCGAGUGGCGAACGGGUGAGUAACACGUGGGUGAUCUGCCCUGCACUUCGGGAUAAGCCUGGGAAACUGGGUCUAAUACCGGAUAGGACCACAUUUUGGAUGGUGUGGUGGAAAGUUUUUCGGUGUGGGAUGAGCUCGCGGCCUAUCAGCUUGUUGGUGGGGUAAUGGCCUACCAAGGCGUCGACGGGUAGCCGGCCUGAGAGGGUGUACGGCCACAUUGGGACUGAGAUACGGCCCAGACUCCUACGGGAGGCAGCAGUGGGGAAUAUUGCACAAUGGGCGCAAGCCUGAUGCAGCGACGCCGCGUGGGGGAUGACGGCCUUCGGGUUGUAAACUCCUUUCGCUAGGGACGAAACGUUUUUGUGACGGUACCUGGAGAAGAAGCACCGGCUAACUACGUG
rnacentral:rRNA from 1 species